CUCCUACGGGAGGCAGCAGUGGGGAAUAUUGCACAAUGGGCGCAAGCCUGAUGCAGCGACGCCGCGUGAGGGAUGACGGCCUUCGGGUUGUAAACCUCUUUCAGCAGGGAAGAAGCGAAAGUGACGGUACCUGCAGAAGAAGCACCGGCNAACUACGUGCCAGCAGCCGCGGUAAUACAC
rnacentral:rRNA from 1 species